rnacentral:tRNA from 1 species
GGGCACUUAGCUCAGGUGGUUUAGAGCGCUGCCUUCACAGGGCAGAGGUCGCAGGUUCGAAUCCUGCAGUGCCCA